CCCGGGACACCCCCUGGCCACGAGGAGGAGGAAGAGGAAGAGGCGAUGGAGUGCGGGACCCCCCCGGCCCCCCCCGACGGCUGGACCCUCGUGCAGCGGCGGCGCCGGCGAUGAGGGGGGGGAGGGGUGUCGUGUGUGUAAACCCCCCCCAAAUUGGGGGACACCCCUCCCCCACCCUGCUCCCCAAACUGGGGGGGAAUAAAGGCCCCUCCCCCCACAAGGGGGCGUGGGAA